rnacentral:rRNA from 1 species
ACGGUCCUAAGGUAGCGAAAUUCCUUGUCAGGUAAGUUCUGACCCGCACGAAAGGUGUAACGAUUUGGGCGCUGUCUCGGCAGCAGACUCGGUGAAAUCUUAGUACCUGUGAAAAUGCAGGUUACCCGCAACUAGACGGAAAGACCCCAUGGAGCUUUACUGUAGCUUGAUAUUGAACUUUGGUCGUACCUGUACAGGAUAGGUGGGAGACAUAGAGACGUGCACGCCAGUGUAUGAGGAGUCGCCGUUGGGAUACCACUCUUGUGCGAUCGGAGUUCUAACCCAGGUCCAUGAAACUGGAUCGGGGACCGUGUCAGGCAGGCAGUUUGACUGGGGCGGUCGCCUCCCAAAGAGUAACGGAGGCGCCCAAAGGUACGCUCAGAUUGGAUGGAAACCAAUCAUUGAGUGCAAUUGCAGAAGCGUGCUUGACUGUGAGACAAACAAGUCGAACAGGGACGAAAGUCGGGAAUAGUGAUCCGGCGGUGCCGAAUGGAAGGGCCGUCGCUCAACGGAUAAAAGCUACCCUGGGGAUAACAGGCUGAUCUCGCCCAAGAGUUCACAUCGACGGCGAGGUUUGGCACCUCGAUGUCGGCUCAUCGCAUCCUGGAGCUGGAUUCGGUUCCAAGGGUUGGGCUGUCCGCCCAUUAAAGCGGUACGCGAGCUGGGUUCAGAACGUCGUGAGACAGUUCGGUCCCUAUCUGUUGUGGGCGUUGGAGAUUUGAGGAGAGCUGUCCUUAGUACGAGAGGACCGGGAUGGACCUACCACUGGUGCACCAGUUGUUCUGCCAAGAGCAUAGCUGGGUAGCUAAGUAGGGAAAGGAUAAGCGCUGAAAGCAUCUAAGCACGAAACCUACUCCAAGAUGAGAUCUCCCAACAAGUAAGACCCCUUAAAGACGAUAAGGUAGAUAGGCCAGAGAUGGAAGUGUAGAGAUACAUGGAGUUGACUGGUACUAAUCGGUCGAGGACUUAAUCAA